CAGAGUUCUAUUUCAAAAUCCAAAUCUUUCAUCAAAAUUCAAGGUAAACAAGUGACAAUGUUCCUUCCUCUUUCCUGAACUAACACCCCCGCGUCGUCAUCCGUCAUCCUCGGAGCUCAGCUUUUUUCUUCACUUGCCCAGGGGCUGCGGGCAGUGACACACCCACUGAGGGUUUGGGGCUUUUAGAAAGUAGCUUCUUAGAAAACCAGAAACCUGUUUGGGACUGGAAUUUUGCGCACUACUUGGAACGAUAAAAUACCAACCCGACAGAGUCUUGAGAGGUGGGGUGUACAUGUGCGUACGUGAGCAGCAGAGGAACUACAGAAGAGCAAUAAGGUUAGCCGUGUCAGAAAGAUGUCACCAUUUACAGAAAAGAGAAAAGGAAGGAAAAAUAUGCCAUUUAUGGAAAGAGCAAAGGAAGCAUUUUAUGUCUUCCCUGCUGGUGGUUCAACUUCAGCCGACAAGCUCUAUCUCAUGGAGAAUUUCAGCACCACCCUCCUCUGUACCACUGGAGAAGAAUAAAAAUGAAGUCUGUAUACGAGAUGCAUCUGGAGAGAGACAGUAA
rnacentral:lncRNA from 1 species